AGACGUUCAAGAACAAUUAGAGAAGACCAAUGCUAGAAUGUGGGGCUCACCAGAUUUUCCAACUGCAUUGGCUAGCUCUGCUAGCGCUUUGGCAGUAACCAUAUCUUUGUCAUCUUCAUCAUCGUCAUCUUCGUCAUCAUCUUCGUCAUCCUCAUCAUCCUCGUCCUCAGCAUCAG
rnacentral:pre_miRNA from 1 species